GACGAACGCUGGCGGCGUGCUUAACACAUGCAAGUCGAACGGUGAACCUCUUCGGAGGGGAUCAGUGGCGAACGGGUGAGUAACACGUGGGCAACCUGCCCCCGGCUCUGGGAUAACUCCAAGAAAUUGGGGCUAAUACCGGAUGUUCACCGCUUCCCGCAUGGGUGGUGGUGGAAAGGGUUUCCGGCUGGGGAUGGGCCCGCGGCCUAUCAGCUUGUUGGUGGGGUAGUGGCCUACCAAGGCGACGACGGGUAGCCGGCCUGAGAGGGUGACCGGCCACACUGGGACUGAGACACGGCCCAGACUCCUACGGGAGGCAGCAGUGGGGAAUAUUGCGCAAUGGGCGGAAGCCUGACGCAGCGACGCCGCGUGGGGGAUGACGGCCUUCGGGUUGUAAACCGCUUUCAGCAGGGACGAAGCGCAAGUGACGGUACCUGCAGAAGAAGCACCGGCCAACUACGUG
rnacentral:rRNA from 1 species